UUGGAGGACUGAGCCACCGGUACAGAUGGCGGGGUGGUGUAAAAUUCAGUGUUUUUGAUAAAAUUGAAAGCUUGCGAAAAGGAGGAGGAAGGCUUGAAUAAAGAUUGCGACUUAGGUUGGGAGCUCUCAACCACCUCUUCAUAUGAAGGUAUUUUCACAACAAAUGAUGCAUUAUUCUGUUUCUGCUGCUCAGGAUCACCUCUGUUUUCCAUCUUCACAACUCACUCUCCUAAUUCACCUUUCCAAAAUCCCUCCUUUCAACUUCCUUGAUCAGUUUAAAUCAAAUUUAACAUAAAAUUUACCCAACCUUCAGAACAUUCAAUAAACGCAUACAACCAAAUCAAUUCAGUAAAAAUUCAGCCUUCACUACAGAAAAUUCUACCGAAUUCUUCCGAAGAAGUCUUACGGGACAAAUUACAUCCAUGAAUUACAGCAAAUUAACAACAUAAUUUGUUUCAGAAAGUGGUCGCAUAUAAAUCGACCUAAUUUAGAUGAAGAAGGAGAAGUACCUCGAAUGGAAGAGCAGAAGUGAUGGCGGAACAAUUUAGCCGGAACGGAUGAUGCGCACAGCGGCGGCGGCGGCUUGCUUACCGAUGCUCCAGA
rnacentral:lncRNA from 1 species